UGGAACGAGUGGCGGACGGGUGAGUAACACGUGGGUAACCUGCCCUUAAGUGGGGGAUAACAUUUGGAAACAGAUGCUAAUACCGCAUAGAUCCAAGAACCGCAUGGUUCUUGGCUGAAAGAUGGCGUAAGCUAUCGCUUUUGGAUGGACCCGCGGCGUAUUAGCUAGUUGGUGAGGUAAUGGCUCACCAAGGCGAUGAUACGUAGCCGAACUGAGAGGUUGAUCGGCCACAUUGGGACUGAGACACGGCCCAAACUCCUACGGGAGGCAGCAGUAGGGAAUCUUCCACAAUGGACGCAAGUCUGAUGGAGCAACGCCGCGUGAGUGAAGAAGGCUUUCGGGUCGUAAAACUCUGUUGUUGGAGAAGAAUGGUCGGCAGAGUAACUGUUG
rnacentral:rRNA from 2 species